GACGAACGCUGGCGGCGUGCUUAACACAUGCAAGUCGAGCGGUAAGGCCCUUUCGGGGGUACGACGAGCGGCGAACGGGUGAGUAACACGUGGGUGACCUGCCCUCAGCUCUGGGAUAAGCCUGGGAAGGCCGGGUCUAAUACUGGAUAUGACUCCAUGACGCAUGUUGUGGGGUGGAAAGCCUUGUGCGGCUGAGGAUGGGCCCGCGGCCUAUCAGCUUGUUGGUGGGGUGAUGGCCUACCAAGGCGACGACGGGUAGCCGGCCU
rnacentral:rRNA from 1 species